rnacentral:lncRNA from 1 species
UUUGAAAAGAUGAUCAGGGCUACCAGCUGGAAAAGGAACUGAGAGGAGAAGGGGAGUGACAGAAAGAAGUCCAGACAAGAACACGAGUUCUGGGUCCCUGGCCUUACACAGCGCUCACCCCAGGCCCUGCUGGCCCAGCACACAGCAGGUGAGGCUUGGGAAAACUCUUCCAGCCUUCUCUGAUCGGCCCACUUCCGCCCCUCUGGAGCCUGGGAGCCCUGCCCUCUGGAAUAACCCAGCUCCACGUCUCCUAGAGCCGGACCUUGCUGCAGUCAGCCACUGCGGUGGCAACAACCCACUGAGGCACCGAAUUAAACAAAAAAGGGUUGAGGUUAUGAAAGGAGAGGUUCCAGCUAGAGUUCAAGAAAGUCUUCCAGACCUGCCUGCAGAGAAUUAAACCCAGACACUGUGAAGUGCCCGUCCCAUCCUUCAAGAACCAGCUCAGAUGCCUCCUCUCUGGGAAGCCUUUCCUGCGCCCCCAAGGCUGUUGCUCACUGGAGAGCCCUGAGAGCAGGCAUUAUACUGCAUCCCAUUUGUAUAUUUUGUAUCCCUUUCUAUCUCAUAAAUGGGGCAGGAAUUCAAUCAA